UACAGGGGGUGCAAACGUUGCUCGGAAUUAUUGGGCGUAAAGCGCGCGUAGGCGGCCGCUUAAGUCGGAUGUGAAAGCCCCUGGCUCAACUGGGGAAGUGCACCCGAAACUGAAUGGCUUGAAUACAAAAGAGGGUCGCGGAAUUCCCGGUGUAGAGGUGAAAUUCGUAGAUAUCGGGAGGAACACCGGUGGCGAAGGCGGCGACCUGGGUUGAUAUUGACGCUGAGGCGCGAAAGCGUGGGGAGCAAACAGGAUUAGAAACCCCCGUAGUCC
rnacentral:rRNA from 1 species